rnacentral:lncRNA from 1 species
UGUCCUUGUGCAAAUAAUUGAAUAUUUCUUCCAUGUGCUUUUACUAUACUAAAUAAAUGGAUAACAUGAUUCAGAUAACGAAGUAUCUAUUCGCACACCACUUUAAAAACUUUUUGUGAAUAUUUUUUGUUUUUGUAUACAACUGUGAAUCAUCCAACUCACAUCAGGUGGAUAACUUAGUGGCUCGAGGAAACAUUCCAAUUCUGCUGUACGAGAUACUA